rnacentral:lncRNA from 1 species
GGGGGUGAAAUUACACUGUAAACAAAUUUGGGUCCAGAAUUUUAAAGGAAAGCAGUGAUUUGGUCCAGCUGAAAAAGGUUGAAAAUUAGCACUUCGGAAGCUGUCAAAAGAUUUCAAGACGCCCUAAACAUAAAAUUGUCCAUAUUUUGAGUUAGAGCCGAUGAAGUUUUCUAUAAUUUUAAUAUAAUUUGUCCCAAAAGUAGUACAACAC